AGAGUUUGAUCCUGGCUACAGAGCGAACGCUGGCGGCAGGCUUAACACAUGCAAGUCGAACGGGCGUAGCAAUACGUCAGUGGCAGACGGGUGAGUAACACGUGGGAACGUACCUUUUGGUUCGGAACAACUGAGGGAAACUUCAGCUAAUACCGGAUAAGCCCUUACGGGGAAAGAUUUAUCGCCGAAAGAUCGGCCCGCGUCUGAUUAGCUAGUUGGUGGGGUAAGAGCCCACCAAGGCGACGAUCAGUAGCUGGUCUGAGAGGAUGAUCAGCCACAUUGGGACUGAGACACGGCCCAAACUCCUACGGGAGGCAGCAGUGGGGAAUAUUGGACAAUGGGCGAAAGCCUGAUCCAGCCAUGCCGCGUGAGUGAUGAAGGCCCUAGGGUUGUAAAGCUCUUUUAACGGGGAAGAUAAUGACGGUACCCGUAGAAUAAGCCCCGGCUAACUUCGUG
rnacentral:rRNA from 1 species